rnacentral:rRNA from 3 species
AACUUUCGACAACGGAUCUCUUGGCUCUCGCAUCGAUGAAGAACGCAGCGAAAUGCGAUAAGUAAUGUGAAUUGCAGAAUUCAGUGAAUCAUCGAAUCUUUGAACGCACCUUGCGCCCUUUGGUAUUCCGAGGGGCAUGCCUGUUUGAGUGUCAUU